GAGACAGCAGCCGCCGCGGGAAUACGUAGGUGGCAAGCGUUGUCCGGAAUUAUUGGGCGUAAAGGGCUCGCAGGCGGUUUCUUAAGUCUGAUGUGAAAGCCCCCGGCUCAACCGGGGAGGGUCAUUGGAAACUGGGAAACUUGAGUGCAGAAGAGGAGAGUGGAAUUCCACGUGUAGCGGUGAAAUGCGAAGAGAUGAGGAGGAACACCAGUGGCGAAGGCAGCUUCUUGGUCCAUUCCUGACGUUCAUACACGAAAGCGUGGGGAGCAAACAGGAUUAGAUACCCCAGUAGUCCCUGUCUCUUAUAC
rnacentral:rRNA from 1 species